AACUUUCAACAACGGAUCUCUUGGUUCUGGCAUCGAUGAAGAACGCAGCGAAAUGCGAUAAGUAAUGUGAAUUGCAGAAUUCAGUGAAUCAUCGAAUCUUUGAACGCACAUUGCGCCCGCCAGUAUUCUGGCGGGCAUGCCUGUUCGAGCGUUCAUUUCAACCAUCAAGCCCCGU
rnacentral:rRNA from 1 species